rnacentral:rRNA from 1 species
GCAAGUCGAACGGUAACAGCAGAGCUUGCUCUGGCUGACGAGUGGCGGACGGGUGAGUAAUAUAUAGGAAUCUACCUAGUAGUGGGGGACAACGUAUGGAAACGUACGCUAAUACCGCAUACGCCCUUCGGGGGAAAACGGGGACCUUCGGGCCCUCGUGCUAGUAGAUGAGCCUAUAUCCAAUUAGCUAGUUGGCGGGGUAAGAGCCCACCAAGGCGACGAUUGGUAGCUGGUUUGAGAGGAUGAUC